rnacentral:rRNA from 1 species
CCUACGGGUGGCUGCAGUGGGGAAUAUUGCACAAUGGGCGCAAGCCUGAUGCAGCCAUGCCGCGUGUGUGAAGAAGGCCUUCGGGUUGUAAAGCACUUUCAGCGGGGAGGAAGGCGGUGAGGUUAAUAACCUCAUCGAUUGACGUUACCCGCAGAGGAAGCACCGGCUAACUCCGUGCCAGCAGCCGCGGUAAUACGGAGGGUGCAAGCGUUAAUCGGAAUUACUGGGCGUAAAGCGCACGCAGGCGGUCUGUCAAGUCGGAUGUGAAAUCCCCGGGCUCAACCUGGGAACUGCAUUCGAAACUGGCAGGCUAGAGUCUUGUAGAGGGGGGUAGAAUUCCAGGUGAAGCGGUGAAAUGCGUAGAGAUCUGGAGGAAUACCGGUGGCGAAGGCGGCCCCCUGGACAAAGACUGACGCUCAGGUGCGAAAGCGUGGGGAGCAAACAGGAUUAGAUACCCGAGUAGUC